rnacentral:rRNA from 1 species
AUUGAACGCUGGCGGCAGGCCUAACACAUGCAAGUCGAACGAGUGGCGGACGGGUGAGUAAUGUCUGGGAAACUGCCCGAUGGAGGGGGAUAACUACUGGAAACGGUAGCUAAUACCGCAUACUAUCGGAUGUGCCCAGAUGGGAUUAGCUUGUGGGUGGGUUAACGGCUCACCUAGUCGACGAUCCCUAGCUGGUCUGAGAGGAUGACCAGCCACACUGGCACUGUGACACGUGCCAGACUCCUACGGGGGGCAGCAGUGGGGAAUAUUGCACAAUGGGCGCGAGCCUGAUGCAGCCAUGCCGCGUGUAUGAGUAAAGCCUGCGGGUUGUAAAUUACUUUCAGCGGGGAGGCGUUACCCGCAGGAGAAGCACCGGCUAACUCCGUGCCAACAGCCGCGGUAAUUC